AUGAAACAUAACAGAUGCCUACGUUCUGGGGAUUGGGAUGUGAACAUUUUUGGGUGGAGUGGCAGGGGAUUAUUCUACCUACCACAGGCAACUGUGGCAAAAAUUCUGUCCCUGUCGAGAAAGCAAGGACAUCCCAGGUUCUCCAACCAAGCUAUGAUUUCAGAGAUGGUGCCAAUCAGAAUUCUGGAUGAAGCACUUGUUUCAAGAAACGGGCCUGUGGCCCAAGCCAGGACAUCCAUAUGGAAACUGGUGGCAGCAGGAAGAAGAGGACCCCAGAGAGAAAGAAGAAACGGCUUGCUUUCUUUGAGUGGCAGCUGCAAAGGAAUGGAGUUGUUCCAAGUGAAAGUCACAUCUUGAAAUGCAGCCUGAAGCAGGAAUACUACCUUCCGGGAAUUCAGCCAUUAAGAAAGACAUUUAGGAGUAAUAAACGUUACCCAGCGAUCUACUAUGCAGGGUAAUGUCAAAAUCAGAGCCCCCUGGAGCUGCCAGAAGGGGCUGUGGAACUGAAGAAUUUUCCAAAGCACUGAGAAGCCAUGUUCCUAAUGUAAGUAUCCCAUUCCAGAAUCCCCUGUGGGUAGGGUCCCUGGCUCAUAAGAGCAGGUGUGCACAUCCCUCCACAGACUUAAACACGUCCUGGUACCCCUCACAUUCUCUCAGGUGGAUGGGACCUUCUCUAUCAUGCAGGGCUAGAGAGCCCUGAAGCUUCAUCUGGCUUCUGGUGGCUUUAAGGACACCAACAUCGUUUUAGGUCACUAAUUAAAUGAAAAAUUAAUCCUCAUGAUCUUAAUAUUUGGACUAAAAUGAAGUGUGAAAUCAUAGUAAUAACCACCAUUUAUGUAGUGCCUCCCAGGUACCAGGCACUUGACGCCAUUACCUUCUCUAAACCUAACUACGACCUACCAAGGAGGCCUUAUUAUCCCCAUCUUACAAACCCAGAGAGGGUAAGUUAGUUGCCCAGGGUCUCACUUACAACAAGAAGGUAUGUGCUCAAACAUAACUCAAUUCUAUGGAAU
rnacentral:lncRNA from 1 species